UACGUAGGGGGCAAGCGUUGUCCGGAAUCAUUGGGCGUAAAGAGCGUGUAGGCGGCCCGAUAAGUCCGCUGUGAAAGUCCAGGGCUCAACCCUGGAAUGCCGGUGGAUACUGUCGGGCUCGAAUCCGGAAGAGGCGAGUGGAAUUCCUGGUGUAGCGGUGAAAUGCGCAGAUAUCAGGAGGAACACCAAUGGCGAAGGCAGCUCACUGGGACGGUAUUGACGCUGAGACGCGAAAGCGUGGGGAGCAAACAGG
rnacentral:rRNA from 1 species